CAGGCUUAACACAUGCAAGUCGAGGGGCAGCAUGGUCUUAGCUUGCUAAGGCCGAUGGCGACCGGCGCACGGGUGAGUAACGCGUAUCCAACCUGCCUUACACUCUUGGACAGCCUUCUGAAAGGGAGAUUAAUACAAGAUGUUAUCAUGAGUAAGCAUUUUCACAUGAUUAAAGGUUUACCGGUGUAAGAUGGGGAUGCGUUCCAUUAGAUAGUAGGCGGGGUAACGGCCCACCUAGUCUUCGAUGGAUAGGGGUUCUGAGAGGAAGGUCCCCCACAUUGGAACUGAGACACGGUCCAAACUCCUACGGGAGGCAGCAGUGAGGAAUAUUGGUCAAUGGACGAGAGUCUGAACCAGCCAAGUAGCGUGAAGGAUGAAGGUUCUAUGGAUUGUAAACUUCUUUUAUACGGGAAUAAACGAAUCCACGUGUGGAUUUUUGCAUGUACCGUAUGAAUAAGGAUCGGCUAACUCCGUGCCAGCAGCCGCGGUAAUACGGAGGAUCCGAGCGUUAUCCGGAUUUAUUGGGUUUAAAGGGAGCGUAGAUGGGUUGUUAAGUCAGUUGUGAAAGUUUGCGGCUCAACCGUAAAAUUGCAAUUGAUACUGGCAGUCUUGAGUACAGUUGAGGUAGGCGGAAUUCGUGGUGUAGCAGUGAAAUGCUUAGAUAUCACGAAGAACUCCGAUUGCGAAGGCAGCUUACUAACCUGUAACUGACAUUGAUGCUCGAAAGUGUGGGUAUCAAACAGGAUUAGAUACCCUGGUAGUCCACACGGUAAACGAUGAAUACUCGCUGUAGGCGAUAUACAGUCUGCGGCCAAGCGAAAGCAUUAAGUAUUCCACCUGGGGAGUACGCCGGCAACGGUGAAACUCAAAGGAAUUGACGGGGGCCCGCACAAGCGGAGGAACAUGUGGUUUAAUUCGAUGAUACGCGAGGAACCUUACCCGGGCUUAAAUUGCAACCGAAUAUGGCGGAAACGCUAUAGCUAGCAAUAGCGGUUGUGAAGGUGCUGCAUGGUUGUCGUCAGCUCGUGCCGUGAGGUGUCGGCUUAAGUGCCAUAACGAGCGCAACCCUUGCCGAUAGUUACUAACAGGUCAUGCUGAGGACUCUGUCGGGACUGCCAUCGUAAGAUGUGAGGAAGGUGGGGAUGACGUCAAAUCAGCACGGCCCUUACGUCCGGGGCUACACACGUGUUACAAUGGGGGGUACGGAGGGCUGCUACCACGCAAGUGGAUGCCAAUCCCAAAAACCUCUCUCAGUUCGGAUUGAAGUCUGCAACCCGACUUCAUGAAGCUGGAUUCGCUAGUAAUCGCGCAUCAGCCACGGCGCGGUGAAUACGUUCCCGGGCCUUGUACACACCGCCCGUCAAGCCAUGGGAGCCGGGGGUACCUGAAGUGCGUAACCGCAAGGAGCGCCCUAGGGUAAAACUGGUGACUGG
rnacentral:rRNA from 1 species